rnacentral:rRNA from 1 species
GACGAACGCUGGCGGCGUGCUUAACACAUGCAAGUCGUACGGUAAGGCCCUUUCGGGGGUACACGAGUGGCGAACGGGUGAGUAACACGUGAGUAACCUGCCCAAAACUUUGGGAUAACGCUAGGAAACUGGUGCUAAUACUGGAUAUGUGCUCCUGCUGCAUGGUGGGGGUUGGAAAGCUCCGGCGGUUGUGGAUGGACUCGCGGCCUAUCAGCUUGUUGGUGGGGUAGUGGCCUACCAAGGCGGCGACGGGUAGCCGGCCUGAGAGGGUGACCGGCCACAUUGGGACUGAGAUACGGCCCAGACUCCUACGGGAGGCAGCAGUGGGGAAUAUUGCACAAUGGGCGCAAGCCUGAUGCAGCAACGCCGCGUGCGGGAUGACGGCCUUCGGGUUGUAAACCGCUUUCAGCAGGGACGAAGCUUUUUGUGACGGUACCUGCAGAAGAAGCACCGGCUAACUACGUG